UGAUAUCCCACGAAGGCAUCCGAAUGGGAUUAAAGAUUUAUCGGUGAUGGAUGGGGAUGCGUCUGAUUAGCUUGUUGGCGGGGUAACGGCCCACCAAGGCAACGAUCAGUAGGGGUUCUGAGAGGAAGGUCCCCCACAUUGGAACUGAGACACGGUCCAAACUCCUACGGGAGGCAGCAGUGAGGAAUAUUGGUCAAUGGGCGAGAGCCUGAACCAGCCAAGUAGCGUGCAGGAUGACGGCCCUAUGGGUUGUAAACUGCUUUUAUGCGGGGAUAAACUGACUCACGUGUGGGUCAUUGCAGGUACCGCAUGAAUAAGGACCGGCUAAUUCCGUG
rnacentral:rRNA from 1 species